rnacentral:rRNA from 1 species
AUUGAACGCUGGCGGCAGGCUUAACACAUGCAAGUCGAACGAUGAGUCUCUAGCUUGCUAGAGAUGAUUAGUGGCGGACGGGUGAGUAACAUUUAGGAAUCUACCUAGUAGUGGGGGAUAGCUCGGGGAAACUCGAAUUAAUACCGCAUACGACCUACGGGUGAAAGGAGGCGCAAGCUCUUGCUAUUAGAUGAGCCUAAAUCAGAUUAGCUAGUUGGUGGGGUAAAGGCCCACCAAGGCGACGAUCUGUAACUGGUCUGAGAGGAUGAUCAGUCACACCGGAACUGAGACACGGUCCGGACUCCUACGGGAGGCAGCAGUGGGGAAUAUUGGACAAUGGGGGCAACCCUGAUCCAGCCAUGCCGCGUGUGUGAAGAAGGCCUUUUGGUUGUAAAGCACUUUAAGCAGGGAGGAGAGGCUAAUGGUUAAUACCCAUUAGAUUAGACGUUACCUGCAGAAUAAGCACCGGCUAACUCUGUG